AGGGAGGCAUUUGUGGACAGAGAUCACCAUCUGAUAUCCCUCCCCGACAACUAUGAAUGUCCUACAACAACAACAAAAUCUAUAAACUUUACAAUGCCAAUGACAACAACAACAACGACGACCACAACUGAGCCAACAACACCCCAAUCAACAACAUCUACACCAACAACAGAGAUGACAACUAUGGAGCCAACAACACAACCAGAGACAACAGUAACAACAGCUUCUACGGAACAGACAACAUCUACACCAACAACAACCACUAUGCCAACAACAACCACUACACCAACAACUACCACUAAGCCAACCACCACAAUCACUAUUCCAACCACCAAUAUGCCAACAACCAAUAAACCAACCACAAAUACACCAGCAAAAACCACUUCACCAACAACCAUCACCACUACCCCAACUACUACAACUACACCAACAACCACUACCACCACCCAAACAACCACCACCACUACACCUACAACCACGACCACUACACCAACGACUACUACCACCACGCCAACAACCACUACUACUACACCAACAACAACCACUACAACCCCAACAACUACAACAACUGCUCCAAAACCACCCACCUCCUGCAAUUUGUGUAAUGGUAUGCCAAUUUACAUCUGUGAGGAGUAUUUUACACCAAUGAAAUGUGAUACCAGUGAGGAGCAGUAUUGCCUUAAUAUCCUUGUGAAUAAUAAAGAUGGAUCUAGGACAGUAGAUAGAAAAUGUGCAACAGAAAAGGAGUGUAAAAGUCAGUGGUGGGAUCAGACCUCAGACAGACAGGAGUGCUCUGGAUAUGAUCCCAACAGAUAUGUGGCAGAAUAUUUCUCCUGCACCUUCUGCUGUUCGUCCAGUCUGUGUAAUGCAAAUAUUGUGCCUGAUAACCUGUAUGUGCCUCAGAGUUAAUGCACAUUCCAGUACAUGCAGCAGAGUUAUUGAUGACUCCAAUAGACUCAAUCACCUUGUUUUGAUUUUUAUAUAAAAAAGUGGUGCAGGAAAACUCGCAAUGAUCAAUGUCUGAUUUUAUGUUAUUCCUGACAAAAUGUGUAAAAUGACAUGGCUUCAUCAAAAUAUAAUCAUCUAUACACACAUAAUGACUCAGAUACUUGUGUAGCAUAGUGAUUAUCGUUUUUCUGUGUAACUUUCAUGCACCUUACGAAAAAAAAAUUGUCACAAAGUACAGCAAAACUCAGUUACAGCAAAGUCCUGAGGUCUGACAAACUUCACAAUUAAAUCUUACAUUUAUACAUAUACAUUUUUUACACCUCAUGACAAUUGAAAAGUUACAUGAAAUAUAUUGAAUUCAAAACCAUAGCUGUCUUACAAAUUCAUAUUAUUAGGCACAUGUAUAUAAAAUUUUUGUAAUGUAAGACUUUUGUCACUUUUAUAUCACCGGCCAGGUAUUACAAAAGAUUUACAUUGUUGAAAAUUUUUUAUGAAUUAGAGGGUGCAAAAAACUUUGCUUGGCCCGUAUUUCAACAAAAUGAAGUAAUAAGUUUGUGUUAAUUAAGAAAUAAGAAUUUUGUUUGCAAUUAAUUUAUUCUAAGAUUAAAAAUAACAAAUAGAAAAACAAUUUUUGUGUACAAUAUUAAAGUUAUUGCCAACAAUUUUUUCAUGGAUAAAAAUAAACCUUAAAUAGAAAAAACUGUAAAGAACCAACCCUUAUGAAUCAUAUACAAACUACAACACAAAUAUGAUGUUGAUAAAACAAUUAAUGCCCUAAGUGAUUCUCUAUGAAGACAACCAUUACAUGUUCAUCCACUAAGACAUUAUCAGUUUAAUUUCACAUCCCCUUUCAUACACUGACUUUGGAAGGAUUCAUUUACACUUUGCAGCAUAUAAAUGAUUUUA
rnacentral:misc_RNA from 1 species